rnacentral:rRNA from 1 species
CACCGGCGGCCCGAGUGGUAACCGCUUUUAUUGGGUCUAAAGGGUCUGUAGCCGGCCAGGUAAGUCCCUUGGGAAAUCUGGCAGCUCAACUGUCAGGCUGCUAGGGGAUACUGUUUGGCUUGGGACCGGGAGAGGUGAGAGGUACCUUGGGGGUAGGGGUGAAAUCUUGUGAUCCUCGGGGGACCACCAGUGGCGAAGGCGUCUCACCAGAACGGGUCCGACGGUAAGGGACGAAAGCUAGGGGCACGAACCGGAUUAGAUACCCGGGUAGUCCUAGCCGUAAACGAUGCUCGCUAGGUGUCAGUCACGGUGCGACCGUGAUUGGUGCCGUAGGGAAGCCGUGAAGCGAGCCACCUGGGAAGUAUGGCCGCAAGGCUGAAACUUAAAGGAAUUGGCGGGGGAGCACUACAACGGGUGGAGCCUGCGGUUU